rnacentral:rRNA from 1 species
GAACCGUCCAAACGUUUAUUCGGAAUUACUGGGCUUAAAGGGUGCGUAGGCGGCGCGGUAAGUUGGGUGUGAAAUCCCUCGGCUCAACCGGGGAACUGCGCCCAAAACUACCGUGCUCGAGGGAGGCAGAGGGAAGCGGAACUGAUGGUGGAGCGGUGAAAUGCGUUGAUAUCAUCAGGAACACCGGUGGCGAAAGCGGCUUCCUGGGCCUCUUCUGACGCUGAGGCACGAAAGCUAGGGGAGCGAACGGGAUUAGAUACCCCGGUAGUCCUAGCUGUAAACGAUGAGCACUUGGUCGGAGACUCCCUCCCAUAGGUUUCCCGGCCGUAGCGAAAGUGUUAAGUGCUCCGCCUGGGGAGUAUGGUCGCAAGGCUG